GGGUUGUGAGGUUAAGCGACUAAGCGUACACGGUGGAUGCCCUGGCAGUCAGAGGCGAUGAAGGACGUGCUAAUCUGCGAUAAGCGCCGGUAAGGUGAUAUGAACCGUUAUAACCGGCGAUUUCCGAAUGGGGAAACCCAGUGUGAUUCGUCACACUAUCAUUAACUGAAUCCAUAGGUUAAUGAGGCGAACCGGGGGAACUGAAACAUCUAAGUACCCCGAGGAAAAGAAAUCAACCGAGAUUCCCCCAGUAGCGGCGAGCGAACGGGGAGGAGCCCAGAGCCUGAAUCAGCAUGUGUGUUAGUGGAAGCGUCUGGAAAGGCGCGCGAUACAGGGUGACAGCCCCGUACACAAAAGCGCAUGUGCUGUGAGCUCGAUGAGUAGGGCGGGACACGUGGUAUCCUGUCUGAAUAUGGGGGGACCAUCCUCCAAGGCUAAAUACUCCUGACUGACCGAUAGUGAACCAGUACCGUGAGGGAAAGGCGAAAAGAACCCCGGCGAGGGGAGUGAAAAAGAACCUGAAACCGUGUACGUACAAGCAGUGGGAGCCCCACCACCAAAGCAUUCUCUGGUGUUGAAGGCCCUGCAAAGCAGCAUCGCGGUGGCGGAGCGUCGUUUGCGACGCCCAACACACAAAACAAGCGGUGAAUGCUUUGGGGUGGGGUGACUGCGUACCUUUUGUAUAAUGGGUCAGCGACUUAUAUUCUGUAGCAAGGUUAACCGUAUAGGGGAGCCGGAGGGAAACCGAGUCUUAAUUGGGCGUUAAGUUGCAGGGUAUAGACCCGAAACCCGGUGAUCUAGCCAUGGGCAGGUUGAAGGUUGGGUAACACUAACUGGAGGACCGAACCGACUAAUGUUGAAAAAUUAGCGGAUGACCUGUGGCUGGGGGUGAAAGGCCAAUCAAACCGGGAGAUAGCUGGUUCUCCCCGAAAGCUAUUUAGGUAGCGCCUCGUGAAUUCAUCUCCGGGGGUAGAGCACUGUUUCGGCUAGGGGGCCAUCCCGGCUUACCAACCCGAUGCAAACUGCGAAUACCGGAGAAUGUUAUCACGGGAGACACACGGCGGGUGCUAACGUCCGUCGUGAAGAGGGAAACAACCCAGACCGCCAGCUAAGGUCCCAAAGUCAUGGUUAAGUGGGAAACGAUGUGGGAAGGCCCAGACAGCCAGGAUGUUGGCUUAGAAGCAGCCAUCAUUUAAAGAAAGCGUAAUAGCUCACUGGUCGAGUCGGCCUGCGCGGAAGAUGUAACGGGGCUAAACCAUGCACCGAAGCUGCGGCAGCGAACGUAUCACCCAAGACAACUUUACGGAGUUGACGAUUGACGGAGCGAAGCGACGUCAAAGCGUUCAUUAAAGUCGAGUUGGCUUAGGGAUACGUUCGUUGGGUAGGGGAGCGUUCUGUAAGCCUGUGAAGGUGUGUCGUGAGGCAUGCUGGAGGUAUCAGAAGUGCGAAUGCUGACAUAAGUAACGAUAAAGCGGGUGAAAAGCCCGCUCGCCGGAAGACCAAGGGUUCCUGUCCAACGUUAAUCGGGGCAGGGUGAGUCGACCCCUAAGGCGAGGCCGAAAGGCGUAGUCGAUGGGAAACGGGUUAAUAUUCCCGUACUUGGUGUUACUGCGAAGGGGGGACGGAGAAGGCUAUGUUGGCCGGGCGACGGUUGUCCCGGUUUAAGCGUGUAGGUGUGUGUUCCAGGUAAAUCCGGUUCACUUUAACACUGAGGCGUGACGACGAGGCACUACGGUGCUGAAG
rnacentral:rRNA from 1 species